AAUAAACGCUGGCGGCGUGUCUUAAGCAUGCAAGUCGAACGGCAAGAAAGUGCUUGCACUUUCCUAGAGUGGCGGACUGGUGAGUAACACGUGGGUGACGUACCCUUUGGACGGGGAUAGUCGGUAGAAAUACCGGGUAAUACCGGAUAAGGUCAUAUAAGUUGGAGAUAUAUGAGGAAAGUGGCUAUGGCCACGCCGAAGGAACGGCCUGCGGCCUAUCAGCUAGUUGGUGAGGAAAAGGCCCACCAAGGCGAUGACAGGUAUCCGGCCUGAGAGGGUGAACGGACACAUUGGGACUGAGAUACGGCCCAGACUCCUACGGGAGGCAGCAGCUAAGAAUAUUCCGCAAUGGACGAAAGUCUGACGGAGCAACGCCGCGUGGAUGAUGAAGGUCGGAAGAUUGUAAAAUCCUUUUAUUAUUGAAGAAUAAACUGUACAGGGAAUGGUAUAGAGGUGACAGUAGGUAAUGAAUAAGCACCGGCUAAUUACGUGCCAGCAGCCGCGGUAACACGUAAGGUGCGAGCGUUAUUCGGAAUUAUUGGGCGUAAAGGGCACGCAGGCGGUUAUGCAAGCUUGGUGUGAAAUACUGGGGCUUAACCCCAGAACUGCAUUGAGAACUGCAAGACUAGAGUCAGUGAGGGGAAAUCGGAAUUCCAGGUGUAGGGGUGAAAUCUGUAGAUAUCUGGAAGAACACCAAUGGCGAAGGCAGAUUUUCAGCGCAUGACUGACGCUCAGGUGCGAAGGUGCGGGGAUCAAACAGG
rnacentral:rRNA from 1 species